UCGUUCGGUGGAAACGAGAAUAAAACGUGAAGGAUAACGUUGCGUCAGCAACGGCCCGUAGGGCGAGGCAAAGCCGAGUCAUCCUGCACGACCCACCA
rnacentral:sRNA from 1 species